UAAUACGAAGGGGGCGAGCGUUGUUCGGAAUAACUGGGCGUAAAGGGCGCGUAGGCGGUCUAUCCAGUUGGGCGUGAAAGCCCUGGGCUCAACCCAGGAAUUGCGUCCAAUACUAAUAGACUAGAGACCGAGAGAGGAUAGUGGAAUUUCCAGUGUAGAGGUGAAAUUCGUAGAUAUUGGAAAGAACACCAGUGGCGAAAGCGACUAUCUGGCUCGGUUCUGACGCUGAGGCGCGAAAGCGUGGGGAGCAAACAGGAUUAGAUACCCUGGUAGUCCACGCCGUAAACGAUGUCUGCUAGGUGUCGGGAGGUUACCUCUCGGUGCCGCCGCUAACGCAUUAAGCAGACCGCCUGGGAAGUACGGCCGCAAGGCUA
rnacentral:rRNA from 1 species